CCACACCGGCCGGCCUAGAUCCACUUGCGGCUGCAGUUAGCUUUAACGAAGACGAGCACCUACUACAUGCGCCCCAUGCUCCUCCCUCCAUUAUUCUACGCUGAUGCUUCCAAGAGAGCGUGCUGCACUGGAGCCAUUAUAUCGCCUCCAAUAUAAACCAGGAGAAGGACAUGUUCACGGGAAAAGGGAAAUCCGGAUCUAUUAUUUUAGCUUGUGAAUAAUGAGGAAUCUUGCUUUACUCUCCGGAUCACUAUCAUCAAACUGAUCAUCUCCUACUACAAAGGAUGACACGAGGUUUAAUACCUCCAGUCUUCUUCUAGAUCUACUUCUUUUAGUCAAUUCAUUUUCACUAUGCAAGUUUAAUAUGGAUUGCAAUUUAUCUUGAACAUUUGGUUAAGAAAAAACAAAAUAGUUGCUUCUGUUUUCCUGGAUGUGUAAAUUAGAUAGACUUCUACUCUCUAAUGGAUUAACAAAGUUUUGGAGGAUAAUUCAGUACACCAUCAUUGAGAUUUUGAUUUCUUAUUUGCAUUCAAUAGGUUCAAGUGGCUUUUAUUUUGAAAGUUAUAUUUCUACACAUUGGUGCAUGUUCUAUCAAAUGAUCUCUUGGAUGAAUACUUUUGAAACAAUGGUACAACCAAAACCAAGGGAAGGCCCCUAUAGUAGAUCUCAGAGGCAUUCCAAAUGAUCUUUUGUUGCCCUAAGGUGUUCAUAUUUGCUUGAACUGAUCCAGGUCCAAAUAAUGUUCGCGACAAAGUAUGGGAAAGAAUCUAUUGCUGCACAUCAGAGCUUAUGCCAGAUUGUGGGAUCAACUAGCAGGUCAUAUGCGAACUUCCAUCAAAUGUAAUUCAAUUAUGUUAACAAUUAGAAUGAUGAUGAACCAAUUUGAAUUAAUACCCCAAAUUGAAUUGCUUUCUACAUGUCCAACUCCGGUUGAAGUGAACAUGGAACUGGUUGCAAGUCAGAAUUAAGGUGCAAGCAUGCCUUCAUUUCCAGGGAUGUGUCUCCACUUGGCGCCCAGCUACCGGAUGCUCCACGGAUUCUCUGAUGCCAUGCGAGAUAGUACAGCUUAAGAUGAAGAUGGAUGAGUUGUCUGAUGUACAUAUUCAAAUUUAGAUGUGAAAAAAACACAUACUCUUGUGAAUUUACGUUCUUGUAAUGGAAAUUGUACCGAAUAUCUGAGAUCGGCAAAGACAGUAUGAGCACCAAAAGCGAUUUAAGCUCAACUGCCCAACACUGCUUAAAUUUCAGAUCAACCACAAGGGUAAUAAUUCUAUGGAAGA